UACUGGAAGGUCUUGUGCACCUGUAGUGUUUUUGGCAGUGAUGGCUCUUCCAUAGGUGGUUUGCUGUUCUUGCAGAGGGCAGCGGAGCAUCUGCAGGAAGCGGACCUGCACAAUCUAGCUGUUUCGCUUUGCAGUGGAGCCGAGGAGCGCUCUUGUAAUGUUGGAGGAGCAGUCGUACUGAGAUUGGUCAGAUGAGAGAUCGGCCAACCUGUGGCAGAGACCAAAGAAGGAGCAGCCACCCAGAGCCCAUCCCUAGGGAUGGAAGCCGGACAAUGAUCUGCAGAUACCACGGAGAAAGAAGUGAAGGGUAAGAGCCCACCCCCGUUGUGAGAUGGAAAGCACCAAGAGCCGGGAGACCACAAGUGUUGUCGAUGCCAGCCUAUGGCGAUGCCAUCGAUCUGGGAGUGGAGCAGCCGUCACCAUCAGUGAGAUAAGUGUCUGGUUUGGGGAGGACUCCGGUAACGGCCCAUCUGCCUCCAGGCUGAGACUAGUCAUUAGCUGGGGCUCGGUUUGUAGGAAAAGAUUCCUGACCUGCUGUGGUUAUGAGGGAGACAAGGUCCCCAUUUUCAGGGGCUGGUCUUUUCUCUAUCCACAAACAGUGUGUCCUAUGCAGCAGAAGGUUGGAUUGAGGAGGAUGACUCCAGCUGUUGAGUUUCUUGACUCCAUCCCACAU